GUUUCUUUGCUCUUUUAAAUGCAGCAGUUGUCAUCUUUUAAUUAGUUAAAGAGCGGUUGGUAAAGGUUUCUCCCAGGAACAAAGGCUGACGAACUGUUUUCACACCGUCGUCUGUCGUCGGAGAGACAGAAGACAUGUGGCUGCUUAGGGCGUCGUUCCUACGCACAAUGCGGCUUGUCACGUCCGGGCUGAAGACUGCCUUUCACUCCAGCCACGUUAAAUAACGUUUACAGAAAAAUCAACGCUUUUCCGCAAUUUUAUUGUCAGCUUUUUUUUUUCUUUCUGGCAUUCAUUUCUACGUCUGAUUUUACAUCUUUUACACGAGUUAAGUUUAUUAUUAUCAUUACUGGUUAUUCCCGCAGCGCUGCACUAAGUAUUUUAGAUGUCUUGGAUGACAGUUACGACAAACCGCUCACAUAAAGAAUACGUUGCCGCCAUUUUUAUUGCACGAGGAAUGGCGGGAAAGGAUUGCUUACCAAAAAAGCAGACGUUGACAUUCUAGUGGGCGACCAUGCAGAACGCGCCUUCCAGUCACCAGUGUGGUCCUGACCCAAACACGCCGAAGGAUUAGAAAAUGACGGAUUAGAAAGCAAGGAAAAACGGAAAACAGACAAAGACAACUGGAGCAGCAGCGGGAGGACGGGACAUGGGGGGAGGGUCAGUGAGAGGCAGGACUUGCAGUGGUGAAAUCAACAUUUUCUAUACAAAAGAGUCAAGUCCUGUAUGUUAUCUGGAUAAUAUUAAUGUAAGAGAGAAGGGGAAAAAACCUCUACACAGAGCUGCUGACCUGCAAAGAUAAUUUGCUGCAGCUGACUCGUUGGCACAGUCCCCCCGGUCCUUUCUGCCCGCCUCCACUCCUGUCUGGGCCGGCCGAUUGGCAGCCUGGCAGCAUCUGCGGCACCGGUGCCCGUGGCGAGCAGGUCCUCCGCGUCGGAUCCAGUGGCCGGCUUGACGGCAGACGGCAGUGGCGGCAGUAGAGGCUGGCGAUCUGGGCAGCCCAGUUGGCAAGCAGAGAGGAUGCCACCAUGGGAGACGUUGGCGCAUCUGGGCGUCGCCGGGCAGCCCCCCGUGCCGCAGCCGGCGCUCCUCUCCAUAAACGCGGGACCGUCGCAAGGAGAUCGGCGGCUGCGCUGAGCAUCCCCUGCCCCCAUCUUCGGGGCUCGCGCCACGUCUGCCAGCGAGCCGCAUUGGCAUGGCAGAGGCGAUCGCCGGCUGGCUGGCUGCCUGGCAGAGGCGAUCAUGCUCGAGAGAGAGAGGAAGCAAAAGGGGAGGCGCUUGUUCUUAGCCACCGCCCCCCAGCCCCCCUCCCAACGUGUUACUUGCCACCAUGCAACCAACCUCCCCAGGACUGAGCACCAGUCAAGUUUUCUGUCUGUUUUUUUGUGUUGAUAUUUACCCCCCUACCCCCGUUUGACUCCCCAGCAGUGCCCAUCUCCAUGACUUCCCCCUGGCAUCCGUUCUCCAUGACUGCCUCAGGUCUUCUGGGAGACAUGAAAAAACAGUCCAAGUGGUCAUUACCCACCCCCAGCGGCUUGCACCCCGUCCCGCAACCUGCUCCGAUGUUGCGCCCGUGCUGCCCUGCUCUUGCCCCAUAAUUCCACCGCCAGCACUUCCUGUGUCGACUUGGACGGUGGGCUCUCUGUCCUCCGCUCUUCGGGUGGUUCGCCUGCCACCUGCCCGCUCGUCCUGCCCUUCCUGGCACCACCCUCGCCCCGCGGAGUGCAUGGCAGUCCCGCCGGCAGCGUGUCCCGGUCGCACCGUAUGCCGUGAGGGAUCCCCGGCUGCUGGCUGGGCAUUUGUGCCACCGGAUCCUGCCUGCAGGAUGUUGCUGUGGCAUUUUGUUCCGAAUAAUCAAGAUUCGUUUCGCUGAUUCCCCGAGUUGGACCAUGUCGCUGUAAAGUCGCCCGGGCCUCUUCGGAUCAGCAUAUUUGAUGAGAUUUGAAGAGCCUCUAGAACAGCUGUCUCUCUGUCUGCAUCCACACACCUCUCACACACAGUGGCAACUGUUGAUGGCCGGAUUGGCAGCAGGGGGAUUGAGUCAGAGGUCUUUAAAAGUACACAGGAUGCUGAGUACACCUGAGCACAAGACGUACAUGGGUCUCUCAGGUCACCUCUGCUGAACGUGAAGGGCUGUUUCAGUAUCUGUGAGCUCUCUGCUGUAACUGAGUGCCUAAUGCAGCCUAUGACCAUCAUGAGUUCUGCAGAUUUCUUCCGCAUGGGCAACAAACUCGCCUGCUGUAAGAUCAGUAACACUGCAUCAUCACAGAAAUUCAUAGGAUAGCCAACAGAUGAGAAGAACCAAGUGAAGUAUCAGCUUUUCUUCAGGCACUUUCCUGUCGUGUGAAGUUCAUCUUCCCCAGGAGCCCGAGACUGGAUCACACGUCAUUAGAAAAAUGUCCUGCGUUGGAGUCUUCAGCAAGAGGAGUGAGAGAUGUUUCCGCUUUCAGCGAUAUUCAGGUGUAUUGACACAGGAGUAGUUGACACAAACCUUUUUCUCUCAUGACAUGACUGGAGAUGGGGGGGUGGGGGUCAGUGAAUGGCAAAUGUGAGAGUCGGAAGGGGAAGGAAUUUCACAACUUGCCAACCAUGAGGCUCUGGACUCUGCAGUAGAUUUUUCCCCCCCAGCAGCUGGCAAAGCCUAUAGGUGCAUUACGGUAUAUAUCCAAAGCUUCACACCCCUGGUGUAGUAAUGUUUUUGGUUUAUAUGCUGGUGCGUUGGCUUUACACAAGUAGCCGCUAAAUGCGGUGGCUACAUGCUAAAGCCCCAUCUACAUGCUAAAGUCCUACCAUCUUAACGGCUCUGUUGCAGGGCACACGACACAAUUCUCCCAUGAAUAAUCCUCGCCGGAUGAAUGGCGGACCGAAAAUGGCCGUAAUGGAUCCGCGCUUGAGAGUCGGGUGCGAAUGGCUUUUUUAAACGGGGGAGUUGGCUGGGCGGUCGCGGGACGUGCAUUAGAUAGCGCCGUGCGAUGGCGUCUGCUGAGCAGUCCUCCCAAUUUUCGGGUAAAUCCCCCAGAUGAUUGUUUCCUCAAGGGCACAUGUGUGCCGCACAUUCAUUAAUGGUCCACUAGAGGCUGCGCUUCAUUAUUUAAUUCUUUCCUCUGUUUUUCACCCACUGCUGCCAUUUGCAAAACCACAUGCUAUCUCGUCGGCUAAAUUUAGGCGAGCCUCAUAAAAGCAGGGUCUGCAUUUCUGUCGCAAAUAGCCUGUGUUUAAACCACGACGCAUUAUCCAAAUUGCACCGGAUUCAUUUCUAUUCCCAAUCCUACGCUGACCCAACAAACAGCUCCCCCUCGCAUCCACACACACGCCUGCCCACUCACACACACACAGUCAGCUUUGAUGUGGGUUAUCGGUAAGACCCGUCACCCCCCCAUCCCCCCCCUCCCUCGGCAUCAGCACCUUUUGAUGUAGCGUAUGUGCACUCCCAAAUAGAAUUUUUAAUAAGGAGUCAUUAUCAUUUUGAUUUCCUGCUGAAUGAAAAGAGUGACCUCUGGCAUUUAUCUGAAGCUGGGGGUGUGCAGGCAGAUAUGGCUUAUUGACAUUAAACCCACUGCUAUAACCAAGGCUGAGCUGGGGGGGGGGGUGUAACCAAGUGAAAAAUGUAUCAUGAGAAAAGGUCCUUGCUGAUGAAAAUCACUCCCAUCCCACUCUAGUGCGAGCCUGUUUUAUUUACCAUCCUUCUCUCAAUAGAUCGCAUAGCCAAUGCAGAGCCUUCAAACCCGGUCACCCACCCCCCACCAUUUCAGUCACAAUCUUCUUGAUUAGACCGACGUACAUUUUUAAAGUUUGCCAGUCAGGUCAGGGCGCUUGCUUGACAUUUUGCAC